AGGACUUACUCCACCUGUGAACACUGUAUGUCUUUCCCAUGUUCACAGUGGUUAAGUUCUGC
rnacentral:pre_miRNA from 1 species